AUUGAACGCUGGCGGCAUGCCUUACACAUGCAAGUCGAACGGCAGCACGGGAGCAAUCCUGGUGGCGAGUGGCGAACGGGUGAGUAAAGUAUCGGAACGUGCCCAGUCGUGGGGGAUAACGUAGCGAAAGUUACGCUAAUACCGCAUACGACCUAUGGAUGAAAGCGGGGGAUCGCAAGACAUCGCGCGAUUGGAGCGGCCGAUAUCAGAUUAGGUAGUUGGGGGGGUAAAGGCUCACCAAGCCGACGAUCUGUAGCUGGUCUGAGAGGACGACCAGCCACACUGGGACUGAGACACGGCCCAGACUCCUACGGGAGGCAGCAGUGGGGAAUUUUGGACAAUGGGCGAAAGCCUGAUCCAGCCAUGCCGCGUGCAGGAUGAAGGCCUUCGGGUUGUAAACUGCUUUUGUACGGAACGAAAAGGUUUGGCCUAAUAAGCUGAGCUCAUGACGGUACCGUAAGAAUAAGCACCGGCUAACUACGUGCCAGCCGCCGCAGUAA
rnacentral:rRNA from 1 species